rnacentral:rRNA from 1 species
UCUAAAUUUUUAUUUUAUUAUAAUUUUUAAAUAUAUUUAUGUUUUAGUUUUUAUAUAAAAAAUUUAUUUUAUGAUAGUUUAUUAGUAAAGUGAUUGAAUAUUUAUUUUAUAAGAAAAAGAAUAUUUUAUUUAUAGUACCUUGUGUAUCAGGGUUUAUUUAAAAAAAGAAAAUUAUAUUUUUUUCUCGAUUUUAAAAGAGCUAUUUGUAUAUUUAUAUUAUUGUUUAAAAAAUAUUUUUAAUAUAUUAUUAGCAAUGAAAUGUUAUUCGUUUUUAAAUAUAUCUAGUUUUUUAGGAAAUAAAUUUAAUUUAUUUAUUAUAAAUUUUAUUUAAUUUUAAUUUUUGAUUGUAUAAUAAAAAAUGAUUUAAGGGAUUAGCUUUAAGUUUUAUUUUAAAAAAUUAUUAUUUUUUUAUUUUUUAAUAGGAAUAGAAUUUUUUAUUUUUUGUAGUUUGUAAUAAAGAUUUUAUUUAUAAUAAAAAUUUUAAUUUGAUUUUUGAUUUUUUACUAAAAUAAUAGAUUUAAUUAAUUAUUUAUUUAAUUAUGAUAAAAUUAGUAUAAAUUUUAUUUAUUAAUAAUUAUUUUAUUAAGAUAAAAAAAAGGAAUUAGGCAAUUUUUUUUUCACCUGUUUAAUAAAAACAUGUCUUUUUGAUAAUAAUCUAAAGUCUGAUCUGCCCAUUGAAGUUUUAAAAGGCCGCAGUAUUUUGACUGUGCAAAGGUAGCAUAAUAAUUAGUUUUUUAAUUGAAAGCUAGAAUGAAUGAUUCAAUGAAAAAAAUACUGUCUCUUUUUUAUUAAUUAGAAUUUUAUAUUUAAGUUAAAAAGCUUAAAUUAAAUUAAAAGACGAGAAGACCCUAUAGAGUUUAUAUAUAUAAUUAAAUACUUAUAUGUUAUUUUUUAUUUUUGUUUAAAAAGUAUAUUUUAUUGGGGUGAUGGAAAAGUUUAUUAAACCUUUUUAUUAUAAAAACAAUUUUAUUUGGAAUAUUGAUCCUUUAUAAGAUUAAUAGAUUAAAUUACCUUAGGGAUAACAGCGUAAUUUUUUUGGAGAGUUCAUAUCUAUAAAAAAGUUUGCGACCUCGAUGUUGGAUUAAGAUUUUAUUUAAAUGUAGAUGUUUAAAUUUUAAGUCUGUUCGACUUUUAAAAUCUUACAUGAUCUGAGUUUAAACCGGUGUAAGCCAGGUUGGUUUCUAUCUUUAAUUAAUUUUAGUUUUUUAGUACGAAAGGACCAAUAACU